UCUGCCUCUCUCCCCUCGUGUACCCAGGGCGGGAAGAAUCUGGGAGGAAGAAAGGAGGGGGAAGGGAAUGGUUUGUUCCCCUGUGUUGUAAGACUCAAGGAUUCUGGGUCUUGGGGGUCCCCAGGGAAGGUUUUGGGGAGACCAGACUGAGUUAGGCACUGUACA